rnacentral:rRNA from 1 species
AUUCGCGGCCUAUCAGCUUGUUGGUGGGGUAGUGGCCUACCAAGGCGACGACGGGUAGCCGGCCUGAGAGGGUGACCGGCCACACUGGGACUGAGACACGGCCCAGACUCCUACGGGAGGCAGCAGUGGGGAAUAUUGCGCAAUGGGCGAAAGCCUGACGCAGCGACGCCGCGUGGGGGAUGACGGCCUUCGGGUUGUAAACCUCUUUCAGCAGGGACGAAGCGAGAGUGACGGUACCUGCAGAAGAAGCACCGGCCAACUACGUGCCAGCAGCCGCGGUAAUACGUAGGGUGCAAGCGUUGUCCGGAAUUAUUGGGCGUAAAGAGCUCGUAGGCGGUUUGUUGCGUCGGCUGUGAAAACCUGAGGCUCAACCUCAGGCCUGCAGUCGAUACGAGCAGACUAGAGUGUUGCAGGGGAGACUGGAAUUCCUGGUGUAGCGGUGAAAUGCGCAGAUAUCAGGAGGAACACCGGUGGCGAAGGCGGGUCUCUGGGCAACAACUGACGCUGAGGAGCGAAAGCGUGGGGAGCGAACAGGAUUAGAUACCCUGGUAGUCCACGCCGUAAACGUUGGGCGCUAGGUGUGGGGCUCAUUCCACGAGUUCCGUGCCGCAGCUAACGCAUUAAGCGCCCCGCCUGGGGAGUACGGAAU